GCCGGAAUGGCGGAAUUGGCAGACGCGCUGGAUUCAAAAUCCAGUGGACCUUAAAGUCCGUGUGGGUUCAACUCCCACCUCCGGCA
rnacentral:tRNA from 1 species